GACGAACGCUGGCGGCGUGCUUAACACAUGCAAGUCGAACGGAAAGGCCCCUUUUGGGGUACGCGCGUGGCGGACGGGUGAGUAACACGUGCGUGACCUGCCCGUGCCUGCCGGAGAGCUACCGGCAACUGGCUCUAAUUCCUACUAGGAAUCCUCGCUGCAUGGUUGGGGUGGGUAGGCUUCGGCGGUUUUGGAUGGACUCGCGGGCUGUCAGCUUGCUGGUUGGGUAGUGGGUUGCCAAGGCCUUGACGGGUGGCCGGCCGGGGGGGGCGAACGGCCACAUUGGGGCUGGGGUACGGCCCAGACUUCCACGGGAGGGAAGAGUGGGGGAUAUUGCACAAUGGGCGGGAGCCCGAUGGAGGAACGCCGCGUGGGGGAUGACGGGCUUCGGGGUGUAAACCGCCUUCAGCAGGGGAGAAGCUUGGGGUGACGGUACCUGGAGAAGAAGCACCGGCUAACUACGUG
rnacentral:rRNA from 1 species